GAUUUCUGGUUCGGCGCACUUGGCCCGUCUCGGUUUACGGGAUUGUGUGCCGGUGUGCGCCAUCCAUCCUUCGAUGAGAACAUUGCUGCCCUUUACUGGGUGUGUAAUGUCUCUCUCGAUCUUUUACUUUGAAAAAAUUAGAGUGUUUAAAGCAGGCUUGCGCUAUGAAUACAUUAGCAUGGAAUAAUAAUUUAGGACUUUGGUCUUAUUUUGUUGGUUUCUAGGACUAAAGUAAUGAUUGAUAGGGACAGUUGGGGGUGCUAGUAUUCAGCGGCCAGAGGUGAAAUUCUUGGAUUCGCUGAAGACUAACUUAUGCGAAAGCAUU
rnacentral:rRNA from 1 species